rnacentral:rRNA from 1 species
UCGUGAGAUGUUGGGUUAAGUCCGUAACGAGCGCAACCCUGUCCUUAGUUACCAGCACGUUAUGGUGGGCACUCUAAGGAGACUGCCGGUGACAAACCGGAGGAAGGUGGGGAUGACGUCAAGUCAUCAUGGCCCUUACGGCCUGGGCUACACACGUGCUACAAUGGUCGGUACAAAGGGUUGCCAAGCCGCGAGGUGGAGCUAAUCCCAUAAAACCGAUCGUAGUCCGGAUCGCAGUCUGCAACUCGACUGCGUGAAGUCGGAAUCGCUAGUAAUCGUGAAUCAGAAUGUCACGGUGAAUACGUUCCCGGGCCUU